CCCUUAGAUGUCCUGGGCCGCACGCGCGCUACACUGAGUGUCUGAGAUACGAGUCUGCCUGGUCCGGCAAGGUCUAGGUAAUCGCUAAAAGACACAUCAUGCUUGGGAUAGAUUAUUGCAAAUAUUAAUCUUGAACGAGGAAUUCCUAGUAAGCGCAAGUCAACAGCUUGUGUUUAUUACGUCCCUGCCCUUUGUACACACCGCCCGUCGCUACUACUGAUUGGAUGUUUAAGCGAGGUUCUCGAACUGCUAGCGACUUAGCUUCGGUGAGGUCGCAGUGUGGGAAGUGAACCUAGCUUUGGUGUCUAGAGGAAGUAAAAGUCGUAACA
rnacentral:rRNA from 1 species